ensembl:rRNA 5S_rRNA 5S ribosomal RNA
AUCAACAACCAUACCAGCCUAAACGCACCCAAUCUCAUCUGAUCUUGGAAGCUGAGUGAGGUUGAGCCUGGCUAGUACUUGGGUGGGAGAAGUCUCUGACCAGAUGUGGCCCCUCGACCUUGGACU